UGGGGAAUAUUGCACAAUGGGCGAAAGCCUGAUGCAGCAACGCCGCGUGAGUGAUGAAGGCCUUCGGGUUGUAAAGCUCUGUCUUUUGGGACGAUAAUGACGGUACCAAAGGAGGAAGCCACGGCUAACUACGUGCCAGCAGCCGCGGUAAUACGUAGGUGGCAAGCGUUGUCCGGAUUUACUGGGCGUAAAGGAUGCGUAGGCGGACUUUUAAGUGAGAUGUGAAAUACCCGGGCUUAACUUGGGUGCUGCAUUUCAAACUGGGAAUCUAGAGUGCGGGAGAGGAGAAUGGAAUUCCUAGUGUAGCGGUGAAAUGCGUAGAGAUUAGGAAGAACACCAGUGGCGAAGGCGAUUCUCUGGACCGUAACUGACGCUGAGGCAUGAAAGCGUGGGUAGCAAACAGGAUUAGAUACCCUGGUAGUCCACGCCGUAAACGAUGAGUACUAGGUGUAGGAGGUAUCGACCCCUUCUGUGCCGCAGUUAACACAAUCAAGUACUCCGCCUGGGAAGUACGAUCGCAAGAUUAAAACUUAAAUGAAUUGACGGGGUCAUAGCUG
rnacentral:rRNA from 1 species